GGAUCAUUAUAGUAAAAACCGAGGUGCAACAAGGGCUGUCGCUGACCUUCGAAAGGGGUCGUGCACGCCCCCAAGCCCUCUCACAAUCCAUCUCUCACCCCUUUGUGCAUCACCGCGUGGGUCCUCCUUUGCCGGGAGGGCUCGCGUUUUCAAACAUAAAAACUCAAUAAAGUGUAGAAUGUUCAUUUUUGCGGUCACACGCAAUCAAUACAACUUUCAACAACGGAUCUCUUGGCUCUCGCAUCGAUGAAGAACGCAGCGAAAUGCGAUACGUAAUGUGAAUUGCAGAAUUCAGUGAAUCAUCGAAUCUUUGAACGCACCUUGCGCCCCUUGGCAUUCCGAGGGGCACACCCGUUUGAGUGUCGUGAAAUCUUCAAAACCCCUCUUCUAUUAUGAAAAGGUUUUUUGGACUUGGAGGUUUAAUGCUCGCCUUUUGCAUUCAAAAGCGAGCUCCUCUCAAAAAAAUCAGUGGGGUCUGCUUUGCUGGUCCUCGACGUGAUAAGAUGUUUCUACGUUUUGGAUUUGGCAUAKUCCCUUGGAUGCCCCCGCUCCUAAUCGUCUUGUGGACAAAACGAUGGUGCUUCGGUCACCGCCAUUUAACAUCGGCGGGAGGCUGGACCCACAAAAGAUAUAAACGAUCUUGACCUCAAAUCGGGUGAGACUACCCGCUGAACUUAAGCAUAUCAAUAAGCGGAGGAAAAGAAACUAACAAGGAUUCCCCUAGUAACUGCGAGUGAAGCGGGAAAAGCUCAAAUUUAAAAUCUGGUGGUCUUUGGCCAUCCGAGUUGUAAUUUAGAGAAGCGUCUUCCGCGCUGGACCGUGCACAAGUCUCCUGGAACGGAGCCUCAUAGAGGGUGAGAAUCCCGUCUUUGGCACGGACAUACCAGGGCUUUUGUGAUGCGCUCUCGAAGAGUCGAGUUGUUUGGGAAUGCAGCUCAAAAUGGGUGGUGAACUCCAUCUAAAGCUAAAUAUUGGCGAGAGACCGAUAGCGAACAAGUACCGUGAGGGAAAGAUGAAAAGCACUUUGGAAAGAGAGUGAAACAGUACGUGAAAUUGUUGAAAGGGAAACGCUUGAAGUCAGUCGCGUCGACCGAGACUCAGCCCAGCCUCGGCUUGGUGUACUUCUCGGCCGACGGGUCAGCGUCAAUUUCGCCUCUUGGACAAUGGCGAGGGAAACGUGACACCUUUACGGUGUGUUAUAGUCCCUCGUCGCAUGCAAGGGUCGGGAUUGAGGAACUCAGCACGCGCCUCUCGGCGUCGGGGCUUUGCCCACGAUACGUGC
rnacentral:rRNA from 1 species